CUGUCAUAUCGCGUUGAAACACCGGUUUUCCUCCGAUCAAUAAAGUUAAGCAAUGUCGAGUCUGGGCUGUACCUAGAUAGGUGACCACUUGGGAAUACCAGGCGAUGUAAG